GGCGAACGGGUGAGUAACGCGUAGGGAUCUGCCCUAGAGAGGGGGAUAACCCGGGGAAACUCGGGCUAAUACCGCAUAAUUCCUGAGGAACAAAGCUGGGGACACUUCGGUGCCUAGCGCUCUAGGAGGAACCUGCGUUCGAUUAGCUAGUUGGUGGGGUAAAGGCCUACCAAGGCGACGAUCGAUAGCUGUUCUGAGAGGAAGAUCAGCCACACUGGGACUGAGACACGGCCCAG
rnacentral:rRNA from 1 species